UUGGUUUGGCAGCACAGAUACUAAAACUGGAAGGAUAAAGAGAAAAUUAGCAAGACCCCUGUGCAAGGGUCACACACAAGUUCAUGAAGCGUUCCAUAUUUUC
ensembl:snRNA U6 U6 spliceosomal RNA